CCCUCCCUUGUUAAUCCCGCCUAUAUACCGCCGUCGUCAGCCUACCCUGUGAAGGACUAGUAGUGAGCAAGAUUGGUAAAACCCAAAACGUCAGGUCGAGGUGUAGUAAAUGAGAGGGGAAGAGAUGGGCUACAUUUCCUGCAUCAGGAAAUACGAACAAUGAACUGAAAUAAGCAUUAGAAGGUGGAUUUAGCAGUAAGCAGAUAAACAGAGUGUUCUGCUGAAGUUAAUGGCAAUAAAGCACGUACAUAUCGCCCGUCACUCUCCCCGAGCCUAACGUAUUUGAACAUUCCUAAAAAAUCACACCUGCAAAGGGGAGGCAAGUCGUAACACGGUAAGCGUACCGGAAGGUGUGCUUGGACAAAU
rnacentral:rRNA from 1 species